AAAAUUCCUUUUCUGCCCCUUAAAACUUUGUAGUACUCCUGGCCGGAUACAAUGGCUCAUACCUGUAAUCCAGGACUUUGGGAGGCCGAGGGGGCAGGAUUGCUUGAGUCCAGGAGUUGGAGACCAGCCUGGACAACAUGGUGAGAUUCGGUCUCCACAAAAAAUUUUAAAAAUUAGCUGGGCGUGGUGGCAUGCAGAGGUGCAUGCCAGAGGUGGUCCCAGCUACUCGGGAGCCUGAGGUGGGAGGAUCGCUGAAGCCCAGGAAGCUGAGGCUGAGGUGCAUACCACCACACUCCAGCCUGGGCGACAGCAAGACCCUGUCUAACACACACACACACACCCAACACACACACACGGACACCCUAACACACACAUACACACACCCUAACACACACCCUGUGUAAAACAACACUCUCAACCCUGUCUAAAAAACACACACUCCCUAAAACACACACACCCAUCUCACACACAUGCACUCACCCUAACACACACACCCUAACACACAUACACACCGUCUAAAACACACACACCCCCGUCUCACACACAUGCACUCAAACACACAUACACACCCUAACACACAUACACAUCGUCUAAAAUACACACCCCCGUCUCACACACAUGCACUCAAACACACACACCCUAACACACAUACACACCGUCUAAAACACACACACACCCCCAUCUCACACACGUGCACUCACUCUAACAAACACACACAUCCUAACACACAUACACACCGUCUGAAACACACACACCCUAACACACAUACACACCGUCUGAAACACACACACCCCCAUCUCACACAUGCACUCACCCAACACACACUGUCUAAAACACACACACCCUGUCUAAAACACACAUACAUACCUUAACACACACAUAUCCUGUCUAAAACACACACCCAUACUUUAAUACACAGACACCCACACCCUAACACACAUACCACACCCUAAAACACAAACACACCCUAACACACACGCAUACAGACCAUACACACCCGUCUAAAACACACAUACACACAUCCUGUCCAAAACACACACCCAUACUUUAACACACAGUCUAAGACACACACACCCUAACACAUACCACACCCUAAAACACACAAACACACCUUCACACACACACACACACACACAGACCAUAACACACACACCUGUCUAAAACACACAUACACACCUUAACACACACACACUCUGUCUAAAACACACACCCAUAUCUUAAUACAGUCUAAAACACACACACUGUCUAAAACACACACCCUAACACACACAUACCCUAACACACACGCUCUAAAACACACCCUGACACACACACCCUGUCUAAACACACACCCUAACACAUACACCGUCUCACACACACACACCCUGUCUAAAACACACACACACCACCUAACACACACACCCUGUCUCACACACACCCUAUCUAAAACACACACACCCUAACACACACACCCUGUCUCUCACACACACACCCUGUCUAAAACACACACACACCCUAACACAUACACAUUGUGUCUAAAACACACACACGCACCCUAACACACACACCCUGUCUAAAACACACACCCCAUCACACGCACACACCCUAACACACAUACACCCUGAUUCACACACAUACAACCUGUCUAAAACACACACCCUAACACACACUCUAACACACACAUACACACAGACACUUUGUGGUAUUCCUGAGACAUUCAACCACUGCAGAGCAUUAUUUAAAUGCCAUAAAAAUGCAUCUUUAUGGAUCAUUUCUAUAUUAAAAUAUAAUAAUCUUGGCGGCCACAAUAGUUAAAAUAAACAGAUUCAAGAUCAAAUAAAGUUAGAGCAGAAC
rnacentral:lncRNA from 1 species